rnacentral:misc_RNA from 1 species
AAAAAUAGGCAUAGCCUUAUAUCCACCUUGUGUGCAAAUAAUGGAGAGAGAAAAUGGAACCAAGAGCACUUUUCUUUGGGAGAGUGUUGCCAACUUCUCUAUAUAUUUUUUUAUAAACACCAUCAAAAUUUAAAUAAAAACAUUUUUUUAAUAAAAAUAUUAUA